UGUAGCCUGGCCUGCAAGCACUAUGUGCAUCCUGACCUGCUCUUGCUCAAUACUUUCGAAAUCAUCAUCACGCUGGUAGUUGGCUGCCAGCUGUCAAACAUCUGGAGCGUCACCUCCAAAUGUCCUUGAUUUGGUGCAGAUGUUUCAAAGAGGGCAGCUUCUAUUCAGAUGGCUUGGUAGCUUCAUGGAGUCUGGAAAAUAAUGGCAGUCCCCCCACUCUUUUGCAGACAUAUCCUGGUCAUCUGUUUCAUCCCCUCUUUCUCCUUCUUCUGUAGACCCCACCUGACUGUUUUUCUGAGAGUGACUGGAGGCCUCCUGGCUAGGGUUGCUGCUCUUUUCCAGAUCAUUCCCCUGAUAAUCUGUACUGUGAAGGACACACAGACCUUUACCUUUCAUGCUAACUCUGGUCCCCUUUCCCCCUAUUUCUUU
rnacentral:lncRNA from 1 species